UGACACCAUUUUGGAAAACUUUUAUUCCGGUUACUGCUUGUUAAAUUCCGUUAGGUUCUUUGUCAAAUACUAACUGAUUUUAAUCCAUAUUCUUUUGGGGUGUAACUUUGGUUGUUCUUUCCUUCGAGCUAAGAUAGACCCUAUCAAAAACGAGUUCCAGAAGCAUCUUCCAUUCAUCUCGACCUAGACUGAUCUUUGUUCUGAUGAUGAUAAACCAUCAUCAAUUUGUAUAGUAUAUAUACCCCCAAGCCCUCUUUUUGUACCAUUUUUUUCUUUCUAAAAGAGGGCCUGGAACUGGGCUCUCUUCACAGCCCCUAAAGGCGUUAGGAAGAGAUUUAAUCAGCCAGCGUAAUAACUUCAAUCGAUAGAAAAAUCUAUCAAGACCUAAAACAAAGAAUACCAUCUCCCAGGGAGUCUUUUUAUUUUGCAUAUCUCGAGUUUAGAAUUCUCCUCACGCUUUUUCCAUCACGAUUUUCUCUUCGAGAACACUCGCCUCGUCGAUUCUUCCCCUCGUUCCUUUUAUCUUGGACACAAGGUGAAGGAGUGCGGCAGCACUUCUCCUUCAGAAGUAAGAAAGAGGACUCCAGCUCUCUCAACGUGGUGUAUAGCACGAAAAACCUUUCGAUACAAGAUAGGGCCGUUCACAUGAAAGAAAAAAAUGAAUCCUUUCUUAUCUUCUUUCCCGAGAGGGAAAGAGAAAGAGGGUCUUAUGGAGGGAGGGGGGAGGGGAAAGGCUUGGGCCUACCUAUCCCGAUAGGACCCCAUAAAAGAACGGGAGCUGUUGAGAGGUUCCAUAUUGCCGAGACGAAGGACAGCACUUCUGUACGUGAUCGUAGUAUGUCACGUCGUCUCGUCCCCGCUGCAUCGAAGAGUACCUAUGCACUAUGUUCCGGUUCACUGAUAAGGAAGAUAGCGUUGGGGUGGGGGUCUACGAUGUGAUACUAAAGUAUGACCGGGGGAGAUACAUGCUAACUAUGGGUAGGAAGCAGGAACCAUUAUGUAAAAAAUUUCGGGGGGUUACAGAUCUCUUAUACUACCAUCGAUCAACAGAGCGGAACGACCAGAAAAAGAAGUUAUAAGUAGAUACUGAAAAGAUUUUGCAAAAUAAAUUGUAAAAACUGAAAAAAUCAUUCUUUGACAUAAUAUUUUUGUUUGUAAAACUGUAAAAAUAUAUUUGUAAAAAUUGAAAACCAUUGUAAAAACUGAUAUUUUUGUAGUUUUUAACAAAAUAUUUUUAUUUUUUAAAAAUUGAAAAAAAGUAUUUAAAACAAAAUAUUUUCGUUUUUGAAAAAUGUUUUUUUUCAUUUUUUUAAAGAUUUUCCUUUUGUAAACUAAAAAAUAAAUUUAUAUAAACUGAAUUUUUUUUGUGAAAACAGAAAAAAUAUAUUUUCGUUUUUAAAAGCAGAAAAAAUUAUUUUCAACAAAUUCUUCAUUUUUUCAGUUUUAUAAAAGAAUUUUAUUUUAUAAAAAUUGGAAUAACAAAUUUUUAAAAACAGAACAAAAUAUUUUUGUUUUUUACAAACUAAAAUUUUAAAAAAAAGGGAAAAAUGAAAAUAAGGGUCGGGUUGUGGGUUUUUUUAAAAACGGGUGGCGUAAAAAAAAGGAAAUGAGUCGAUUUAAUCUGGUGUUGCCACGUUGUACUUCAUUCAAAAUAGGGGUAUUUUCGUUUCAAAGUAUGACAGUAGGGGUAUAAAUGACCCAAUAGUAUGACGGUAAGGGUAUAGAUAGCCCAAUAGUAUAAUGAGGGGUACAAGUAAUCAAUAUUUGAAAGUAGAAGGGUAUAUUUAGGCCUUUUUCGUAGUUUAACAAUCAAAUUCCGUCAAUGGAACAAUAUUAAAAGCAUCAAUAUCAUGGCAAGGGAGAUAACAUUAAGAGAAACAACAUCCCAGCAAGGGAGACAAUAUAAUGAUUCUCUUUUCUUUUUUACUUUUACUUCACAACUCAUUUCACAACUUGAGCCAAUGCUUUAUAAGGUUCAAAUGCCAAUUAUACUUCCACAAUUUGUUAUACAACUUUAGCCAACGCUCUUCAAUACUCAAAUACCACCGUUUCUUCCACAAAUUUUACUCAACAAUAGAAAUCAUCACAAAGGGCAUGAACAAUACAAACGGAGUCAUAAACAUCACAAUAUAAGACUCACAAGCAUGCUUGACACCAACGUAUUGAUACUCGUCUCCAUGCCUAUACGUAUUACUCAACAAAUAACACGUAGCAAAUAGGAUACAACUCCUAAUACCUCAAACUAAGUUUAGACCAAACAUUUACCUCGAUGCUACGAACACAAUUCAAGUCUCAACUAUCGCUUUACCUCUUGAUUCAAUUGUCAAUUCGCUUGUAUCUAGCCACAAGUUACUUAAUUACAUCGAUAAAUGCUAAAUAAAUCUUUUCUAAUGCAUGAAAAUAAAUUUUCUAUAAUUUUUCCCAAAAAGUCAAAAAUCGACCCCGGGCCCACAUGGUCAAAACCUGAGGUUCGAACCAAAACUCUAUUACUCAUUCCCCCACGAACCCAAAUAUAUAAUUUGUUUUGAAAUAUGAGGUCCAAAUUCCCAAAUUUUGAAAAAUCUUGAUUCUACCCGACAUACUUAAUUUUCCCAUGAAAAUCAUUGUUUUUGUGUUGAAUCAUGUGAAAAGAUGUUAAAGAUUGAAAAACCUAGUUAGGAACGACUUACAAUUGAUUUUGAGAAGAAAUUUUCUUUGGAAAAUAGCCCAAGAGAGUUUAUGUUUUGAGAAGAUAUUAAAUAUGGCUGAAAAUGCAUCUAAGUAUGAAUUAACAGGUCUCAAAUAUCGUAAUUGCGACCAAGGUUCUCAAUUGCGAACCCCUCAAAAAUCUGCUGUUGUCGCAGUUCCGACAAAGUAUCGCAAGUGCGAAGUCGCUUUUGCGACCAAGGGGAAUUCUUGGCCACUUUGCAAAUGCGACGAGUUUUUCGUAUUUGCGAGAUCGCUUUUGCCACUACAUCGCAUUUGCGACCUCAGGGCAGACCAGGUCCUUUCGCAUUUGUGGCGAUUUUCUCGCGUUUGCGAGCCAGGCUUCGCAAAUGCGAAGUCUGCAGACCUGCAGCAUACCAGCAGUUCCUAAGUUAAAAUCUCACUCAGUGGCCUAUCCAAAGCUCGUUCAAGCCCUCGGGGCUCCAAAACCAUGUACAUCAAUCUAAAAGCAUUAUACAGUCUUGCUCGUGCAUUCAAAUCACCAAAAUAACAUCAACAACUAUGAAUUUUGCAUCAAAAUCAUGAAAUCACUUAAGAACAUAACUUUUUUUCCAAUUUUCUCAAAUAAAGUCCGAUUCACGUCAUUUCUUUUACCAAAUUUCAAAGACUCAACUUAAAUCGAAUACAAGACCUGCAGUGGGUUCCGGAACCAGGAUACGGGCCCGAUACCAUCAAAUUUCAAACACAUUUCAUUUUCAAAAACUCAUAAAUAUUCCAGAAAAUAAUUUUCUUUAAAAUUCAUUUCUCGCGCUUGAGACCUCGGAAUUUGAUUCCGGGCAUACGCCCAAGUCCCAUAUUUUCUUACGGACCCCUCUGGAUUGUCAAAUUAUGGGUCCGGAUCCGUUUACCCAAAAUAUUGACCGAAGUCAACUUAAAUUCAUCUUAUAGAUAAAAUUUAUUAUUUUUUACAGAUUUUCACAUAAUGGUUUUCCUGCUAUGCGUUCGGAUUGUGCAGGCAAAUCGAGGUGAGACAAAAAAAUAUUUUUAAGGCCUCGGAAUACAAAAUUUAAUGCCUCGCAAAUUAAGCUAUUUUUAUAAUAUACAUUACAUAAUGAGCUCUUACUGAAGAUGUGUUAUUAAAUUUUUACAAAAACUUUCUAUGAUACUGUUUGAUCAACAAAAAUAUUUGAAAAUUUUAAAAACUUUACAACAAAUUUUUAAAAACAAACACCAAAAGAACACGAUAAGCACACGGUUUACGGUCAUUUGCAUAUCGUUUAUGCAUUGUCAUUUCGAUAAAGUUUUCUAUUAUCAAUCAAUUACUUCUCUAUUCUUUGCCAACUCAUAAUUGUUGUGUUCUUUUAAUUUUAGUGGCCCCUCCAAAAGCACUUUUCGGUGAAUUUAGUUCGUUAAGAUAUUCAAUUAUUUAAAAUUCUAAAAAGUAGAAAAAGAUGUCAAGGCAGUUGCAUAAAUAAAAUAUCACCUGUUACAAAUCAAAUAAAUUGUACAAAUAAUAGAAAUUUUUUUUUAUACAUCAGUAAAUAUACAUAGCGCUCUACGCUCUUUUAUGAAAAGCGUCCUUAUCCAAUUUUUAUUAAGUGCCUACAUCGAAAAACAUUAAUUUAGAUCCUAAUUAAUGUAAUCAAAUCUUGAAAAUAGUCAAUCAAAUUAAAGUUUAAUAACUGAAUAAACCAAGAUUGGCCCAUAAGUGUGGUGGAAUAAUUCGGGUGAAAUUCAAAAAUAACUGAAAUUACAAGUGGUGAAAAUAGCCACAUUUUCAAAAGUGCUCGAAAUUUAGCUAUUUUUCAUGUAGAAAUAUCUGAAUCAAAAUACUGUUUCAAAUCUAGCAUAAUAUGCUGGAGUUCGAAUUUUUUACAUGUGAACUUCCAAUAUAACAUGUUGGAAUUGCAUAAUUGCUGGAAUUUCAACAUAAUAUAUUGAAAGUUCAUAUACAAGUGCUCCAAUCUCUAAUAUGUUAUGCUGGAACUUUUUGUGUGCUCGAGUUCCAAUAUAAUAUGCUGGAAUUUCAUCCACUUGUGCUCCAAUCUCUAGUAUAUUAUACUGGACCUUUCCGUGCUGCAGCAAGAUAGUGAGUAAUUUUCAAUGACUUUACAAACGCUGGAUAUUUUUCAAUUAUCAGUCCAAAAACUAGCUAGCCCGUGCUAUUUCAACAAUAAUUCGGAUCUCAUUAUUAACCAGAAUCUCUAGUUCGAACUCUAAAACUAAUAACUUCUUGAUUGGGGGUACUUUACCCUCUUAAAGGCCUAUCUCCCACGGAUCCAAAUUGGUGGUCUCGACUUCUAACCCUAAGAACAUAGAACUUUUUGAUAUGGAGCACUUUAUCCCCAAUAAUGAACCCAUGCGGUACGGAUCCAAAUAGGUGAUUUUGGAUUCGAAUCUUAAAAACGAAGAACUUUUUGGCAGAGAACAUUUUAUCCAUCUAGUAGACCUAGCUACCCAACACGAAUAGGUCAAAAUUAGUCAGAUGAAUGAAUCAUGGAUACUAAAUGAUUAUACCAGACAAAUUUAGUUUCUUCAUUUUCACACUCUGAGAAAGAAAACCUUUGAAAAUUCUUCUAUGUCUUCUUCAAAAUCUAAUACACUAAAACGUAUUUGCACUUGUUCUCCUACUACACAUCCAGGUUCUUUCAGAUGCAGUUUUCACAGAAAUGUUGGAAAAUUAUCAAAAAGUUCAUAUUCAACAAGUUAUAAUUGGGCAUUAGCAAAGAAUUUGGCUAAAGGUAACUCUUUGAAAUCUUUGCUUCUUCAAAUUAUAAAGCCUUCUAGCCAUGAUCUUCAAAGAAGAAGGAAUUUCCAGCCAAAGCCUUCUAGCUUUUUUGGAUGAAUAAUAAUCCAGAUGGGGUUGCAGUUUCUUGAUUACAACAAGCAUUAAGAGCUCGAGCUGUCUAUUUUUCGGCGGGGAAUGAGAGUCUAGGAGCAAUAGUAAAUACGUAAAAUUAUCUCAGUUUGAUUAAUAUAUACGUUAUGAAUUCGAGCCGUAAAAAUAGCCAAUAAUAUUUGUAUUAGGAUAUAUAGGCGGUUUACGUCAUACUCUUGAAGUGCAGUCCUUUUUCAGAUCUUACGAGAUACCUUUUUUUCUAAAAAAUAAUUUACGGUUUGCAAAGAUAUUUACUAUAUAUUCUGGUGAAAAAAUAGCAGAUAUCUUGUGAAAUAGUUGAAGUAUGUACAAAUUAACACGAACAAUAUCCUCGUAGAUUUUAGUUGUUUUUUAGCUAUUAAUGCAGAGGUAGAAUCAGGAUUUAAAUUUUAUGGGUUCAAAAUCUUAAUUCAAGUUACCGCAUUUUAAUCUAAUACUUUAUACGUAUUCAGUAAAUUUCUUAAGACAAAUAUAAUAUUUGGACCAAAGCUAUUAAAUUCAAUCGAAUUCGUAGCCAAACAACUGGCUCCGCCCAUGUAUCAAUGUUUAGAUUAAUCUAUUAUGGUAGCCUGGUAGGUUAAUUUUUGUGCUUAUCCAGUUACCGGUUAAUACUCCUUAUAAUAAAGAUUUACAUGUAUUUCUUUGGUAUAAGUGACAUGACUGUCUAAAAUUAUAAUUUUCUACAUUAUUGUCAGAAUGUGGAACUUUCUUUUUUCUUCCUUUUUCUUGACUUUUCUGUAACUUUAUAUGAAAAUUGUUGUCUAGCUAGUGGCAAAUUACCCAAAAGAAAAGGGAGAAAAAGGAAUUAACAAAAGGAAGUGGAGGGUCUUUAAUCAUCACUAAGCUAUUCCUCACUAAUCAAAUUUAGACCUCUUUUGAUACGUAAAAUUAUAAAUGUUUUAUCCGAUUACAAAAUUCAGUUGCGUAACUCACAAAUCAGGAAAGCUUAAGUGGCCGUUUGGUCAUAAGAAUUGUGAAAUUUCAAAAAAAAAAAGUAAAAUAUUGUUCAAGUGAAAAAGUUAUAAUUUGAAAAUUAGAGUUGUAUUUGGAUAUGAAUUUAAUUUAAAGUUGUUUUUGAAUUUUUGUAAGUGAUUUAAAGUGAAAAUUUGAAAAAUAAUUUUAUGGAAUUAAAUUUCAAAAUUCAACUCCAAGUGAAAUUUGAAAUUUUCAUGGACAAACACUCAUUUCGAUAAAUAAAUUUAUUUUUUAAAGAAAAGGUAAAAUAUAUUUUAUAACCAAACGGGCCCUGAAAAUUUAGCUUUUAAGGUGUCAGCGUGAAGAGGAAAAAGAAGUGUCAUCAGAACAACAAAAAUAGGGUUUUAUUGUUACGUAACAACAAAACAAAAGAAAAAGGUAUAUGUACUAUAAGAAUUUUCACACUAUUAGCGAGGAUGAAUCACUAUUUAAAUUUAGUGGUUCGAUCUUUAAGUUUUUUUUUAUAUUUUUAAAAUUAUGAAUUUAAAUUUAAUAUUUAUUAAAAUUUUAAUGAUUUUUUACUUAUAUCUAUACUAUGUGUCGAAACUAUUGGGUUGACAUGCAGCACAAAAAAUAGAAAAAUUGCAUCCGUUAUUGACCAUAAGUAUAAUUCGACCUGAUUAUGAAUGCUAAAUUGAAAUUUUAUAACUGUGGAUGCAUAAUAAUUAAGCUCAAAUUUGAAAAUGAAAGCUAAACCCCGUUGUCAUCUUGCCUCUAGGUUCUUUCCUAUAUCUUGGGAAUUUAUCAACCAACUUAUAAAAUGAUUAUGCUCAAUUAUGUCUUAUAAAAAGAAUAAAGCAGUCAUCACAAAUAUAAUUCGAUUUAUAAGUUCGGAGUCGAAUCACAUAAAGAACUAUGACUUAGCUACAGUUAUUUACUAUCACCAAGAAUACAAGUUUGAACAAUUCCUAUAUUAUAAAUAGUUAGAUUCUUGUAUUUAACUAACUAGCUAACAAAUUAAAAUAAUAAAUUAACACUAAAGAUACUACAGGUUGGAGAAAAGAUUAAGAAUGUCUAGAGUUAUAAUUUUCCCAACUGUCGGAAUCCUUCCCGCUAUGUUUUCUAUAAUUUCGUCUAAGUAUUCUCUACCGAUCAUGAGUGCUCUGUGUGUUGUAAUUAUUUCCCGAGUAAUUGUGACAAUUUACUAGACACACUCUCCCGAGUUGCGCUAGCUGGCUUUAAUUACAACUCUCUUAGAUCGUAUCCAAGGUUUCGUUAUCUCUAAUCCCACCUUUAAACCCAUGGUUAUUGAUUCCUCACAUACUUCGGGAGUGAUGUUGUUCAACAACUACUAAAUAUGCACUCUCUCACGAAUAAUACAUACUAAAUAGACACAGCUAAUUGAGGGCCCUUCAAUCAACCACAAGAAUAAUAUAGUUGAACAAAUAGAGAAAAUACUACGGCUCAAUUAUAUAAAAAAUAUGCACUCUCUCACGAAUAAUACAUACUAAAUAGACACAGCUAAUUGAGGGCCCUUCAAUCAACCACAAGAAUAAUAUAGUUGAACAAAUAGAGAAAAUAUCACGCUCAAUUAUAUAAAAACAUAACAAGAAUAUAUCCUACAAAAGGUUCCAUCAAAACCCAAGACAAAAAAUUAGCUAUUCAUAAUAGUACACAAAACUACAAUACUAAAAGUCAUAACCAACAAUGAAAAAUAGGAAGAUGAAGGAAAAAACUCGUAGAAGAAUUUCCCGCCUUGCUCCUAUUUGUCUCUACCUCCUUAGGUCGAUUCUGUGUCAAAAGUUAGUCUCCUCCUCUCAAAAUAUAAUUUUUUCAUGUGUGUGUGUGUAUAUAUAUAUAUAUAUAUAUAUAUAUAUAUAUAUAUAUAUAUAUAUAUANNNNNNNNNNNNNNNNNNNNNNNNNNNNNNNNNNNNNNNNNNNNNNNNNNNNNNNNNNNNNNNNNNNNNNNNNNNNNNNNNNNNNNNNNNNNNNNNNNNNNNNNNNNNNNNNNNNNNNNNNNNNNNNNNNNNNNNNNNNNNNNNNNNNNNNNNNNNNNNUAUAUAGAUAUAUAUAUAUAUAUAUAUAUAUAUAUACCAAGUAGGGCCGGACCCAAAUAAUUAUACCUUCUCCUACACGAAAAAGGACAACUUUCCAGACCUGGACGCCCGCGGCCGCAGUACGGCCGCGGUACUUUCCUAGUGUACUGCCUCAGUCCGCGUCAAGUCUGCGGUCGCUAUUUUGAUCACGUUUUUAACCCUAUUCUAUUUAGAAUUUGGAAAGGCAUAAAACAUUAAAGUUGUAGCUCUUUGAGUUAUCUUUUCAAACAUAUAUUGUGGAGCAUAAAUAAAGUUCUGAGCGAAAACUUAUAUGUGUUUUACUUGAUAGUGCGCAAUAUGCCUACUCGAUUCUUCGUUUUGUUGAUCUAUCAUCCGUUGAUUCCCCAAUACGAUCUAGGCUUAAUUCCUUGGUCUUUUAAUCAGACUUCAAAGCUUCAAAUCACUUGAAUUUAUUCCAUAAUAUCUGCAUAGCUCAAAAUCACCCCUACAAGGCAUAAAACACACAAUUAGUGCAAGACACUAGCUAUUAAAGCUCAAACUCAAUUUAAAAUCAAUAAAUUUUGAGUGUAAUAAGCGGCUAAAAUACGUAAUUAUAGUCUAUCAUCAACAUCCCAUACUUAAACCAUUACUCGUCCUCAAGCAAUCAAACUAAAUUUUUUGUAGACAUAGCCUUUUUAAACAAUUCUUCCAACUCAUCACACUAAGUAUUUUAAAAUAAACUAAGCACAGAAGCAUAACAUCUUCACCUCAAGAUUUGACUCAGAAGUACCACGCAUUAUUCACAACUCACACACUUAAUCUAACAUAGAGGUCGGUGAUAUUACCUUUCCUUCAUGAAUCAAGUGCCCUCACAAAAUAAAAGAGAGUAGUCCCACACGCUAUAUAAUUUAAGAAUAAUUAGGAACUCAAGAUAGAAAAAAUUCACUCACUUUUAGAAAUAACAUUCAUAUGCUACAAAAGAUGCACCAUAGGCUUACCCGUAGUAUACUACUUUACUAAUCGAGCUUAUUCAGUCUAGAAUCAAGUAGGACUUUAUUUGGUUGUAAUGUAGGCAGCGGAGCGGGUAGGAUACAUUUUUAUAUAAGAGUGACUACACCUUCCUAAGCACUUUAAUACAUAUACAUUAACAUUAAAAUCCCAUAUUUAUAUCAAACCAAACUCCACCUUUAUAUCAAUGUAUAUUACCCAUUCUUCUUUAAGCACACUUACAUCAAAAGCCACCAUUUAUCAAGGAGUAUUUUUUUGACAACAAUCCAACUAUUUUUCUUUUUCAAUUCAAGUGGCUCUUACUUUUUCAAAACAAUUCACAUUUGUUCUUAUUUCAUUAGUUCCACUCAAAAUCCAAACCUACCACCCUACACUUUAACUUUUACAACAGUUCAUAACAAUUCAAGUGCUCCUUAGAUAUUAAAAGGUUCAAAUUGAUGAUUAAUUCAAACAAAUUGGUAAGGCUUGUAAUGUGGUUGCCGAAGAAACAAGGUUACAAGCUCAAAGGGGUCAACUACAAUACAUAACAAUUAGGUGGGUAAAAUAUAUAUAUCUGGCUCAGCAAAGAAACGCCUAUAUCACUUCCAAGACUGAACAAAACUACUAUUUCGCAAAACACACAGAGCAAGUUCUAGUUAUCAAAUGCAAUGCACAGAAUACAACAAAUCUUUACACACACAUGGAACAUAACUCACUCAGGAUUGCACUUAUCAAGACACUCUAAUCAAAGCAGCUAUGCAAAUUUAAGAUCAUACAAUUUAAGGUACUUAUACAGGAUUCAAAAACUGAGCCUAAGCGUCACAACCAAAGUACUCACUAUUCUCAAGGCAUAACAAAUUCAAGAGAUAUUGAAUUCAAAAUACAACACAAUGUCUCUUACUCCCAAAAAAACGUUUGACUACACCUUGUUCAAACAAAACUAUUGGAAAAGAACCACGACACAAAGAGAAACCAAGGGGUAAUUGCUACACUACCUAACAAAAGAAAAUAUUUUUUUGUCUUUUUUUCUUAGGACAUAAAUCCCUCAAGAAAAUUGUCUAAGAGAUCCAUUGUCGGAAAAAGUUCAAUCUUUUCUAUUAAAAAAAUAUUCAGUUAAACUAACUUAACUAUAAUAGCAUAGAAAGUCACCCAGACAAUCUCCUCACCCAACACUUAAAAUUGUACAUUGUCUCCAAUGCACACCCAUACGUACAAGAGGGUAAAAGAAACUCCCUGGUAGGCCAAAGGCCGAAGCACUAGCAUCUCAUGGGGUACUCAGACUUCUUCCAGGCCCGGUCCUUCGUGCGUGUACCUCAUACGUAGUUUCAACCAUCUUGAUGUAAAUUACUUUUUAACUCCAUUUUGUACUUAUUAAUCAGACCCCAAGUUUAAAUUAUGCUCUAUGAUCAUGCCCAUAGGGUGGUAGAACGAAUCUGGCUGGCCCAAUAAAAUAAUGUAGUAGUCUGCACUUAUUGGCCUUUACAUGAGAUUUGUAUUCACGACUUUUUGGAAAGAAGCAUUCUAGAAUGUAGGCUCCUUGUUCCCCAUUCCUUGACUCCUCAAGUGGCUCAGACGACUCUAUUUCCAUAUCAUCAUCCAAACACAAUAUGAAAAAAAUGCUUGGAGUGCGGACCAAUGAACUCAACUACAAGAACAUUGGGACUGUCUACAUUCUCAACAAUAAUGACAAUAGAUUCAACUAAAUAUGUAUCCUUAAUAUCCUUGGGUGACUCUAGUAUCUCUUCUAAAACAUCGACAUCCUUAAUCUAGUGCCAAUAAUUGUUGGUGUUCUACUCUAGCCUUCUCCUCUAACUAAUCCUCGUAUUUUUUUGGAAUCAUCAAGUAUAAUGGCAGUUUCUACAGCCAAUUCAUGCUCAUAUUGGCUACUAUUUACAAUACCAACUUGUUAUUGUCGAUGCCCCCCUUUUCCUGAGGCGAAAUCGGGUUCGUGACAUUUGGGCGAAUAACUCUAUUACUUUUGGGAAUUUGGGUUUUGGAAUUUUGAAGAGUCGCCACCUAAUGAUUAAAGUACAUUAGGACCCUAAGAAGGGUUUUUGAGUUGAAGAAACCACAGUUCGGGUAAGGGCUAGAUAUUAUCUCGAUAUGAAAGUGUUAGGUACCCCCCAAGAUCCACUAGUUUGGUUCCCGUUCAUGUUAUGUAGUGACUUCACGUAAUCAAGUAGACAUUAAGGGCUCAAAUAAAGGGAUUCGCACACAACAUCGCAAAUAAAUUGAAACUUUUGAAAGUAAGUAGAGAGGAAAGAUUUAAAUAGUUUUACAAGAAGAGAUGAGAUCAAAUAAAAGGGAGAGGGGUCCUAGGUUUAUGAUUAAUAUGGAUCAAUCAAUGCAAUAUCCAGCAAUCACUCCUCAGAAGAGGGGUUUCACGUGAUAUUAGCGCACCGGUCAUCAUAUCCAUAUCUAUCCUUCCCACCAUGUUAAGGUAUUAAAGCGCGAAAUGGCAUUGUUGCUUAUUGCAUGCUAGUACCCGUCCCAAUCCUAUCAGUCCCGGAGGCAGUUAGGACUACUAAUCCUAAAUGGGUGGGAGUUGGUUUUUUCAGAGUUUUAAAAGGAUAGAAGUCUAGGCGUCAAACAAAACACAUAAACAGUUAGAGGAAAGCAAACAACAAUUAAGGCUCAAAUAGGCCUCCUCACUUAAAGGCAAAUGUAUAGCAUGAGUUCAAGUACUGGUAGGGUCUAAAUUAAACUUAACGUUAAGGAGGUAGACUGGCUUAUUACACGUUUCAGAUAAGAAACUGGAAUCAAACCUGCCUGUUGGCUGGAAUUGGUAGACUGAUGUAAUCGAUUAAUAACCUACAUGUUUGCCUAGAUGAGGCUUGCAGUCAUGAUAUCUAACAUUGCGAGUGACAUACUGAUUUUAAAUAAGAAUUACUGAUUUAAGGCAAGAUAGAAGCUCUGCAGAUUUUUAAAUGACAUGAUUAACGAUUUAAACUUGUAGACGAAUCUCAUUCAAUGGGCUACUUCUAUAGACACGAUUUCUAAGCGUUAUUGAUUUCAAAGAAAUUAACGGGAUGCAAGUACCUAUAGGCAUGAUAUCUAGGAUGCAACUCUUUUUUCUAUUAAACCUAUAAACGGUUUUUCUAAUGACGUAUGUAUGCAGAAAUGCAGAAGACUUAUAAACAUGGUUUCUAUGUGGUGAAAUGCAGAAACUUAAAGACAUAAUUUCUAAUGCAGAACUGAAACAACUAAUUGGCAGGAUUUCUACAUGUAAUGCAUAACGUAUAGGCAGGAUUGCUACAUGCAAUGCAUAACUUAUAGGAAGAAUUGCUACAUGCGAUGCAUAAGCGAAGGAGCAGGCUGUGAUUGCAAAAGUAAAUACUAAAGCAGGAUGUCUACCCAUAUGCAUAUAUGAGCAACCCGCCCAUUUUCACUAGAACCCCCUAGUUAUUACAGAUUAUUAUAGAUCAGAAUGAAUAAAGAAAAGUAAAAUACAUCAGAAAGCUAAAGGGUCCCAGCUAAGGAGAGCAUGAUUCCGGCUUCUGUCUAAAGCAUGAAAUAAACAAACUCCCAAGAGCCAAAUCCCAAAGCCUUUCUCUUAUUUGGGAUGUGUCAGAGUUCCCUAAGAAUCUCAAACGGAUUCCGGGCAGUGCUUAUACCCAAAUAUAUUGCUGAAUUGGAUUAUGGUGCAAUGUGGAAGGGCCAACCCUCAUAUGUCCAAGUUCAAAGGUAAACUCAAGGUUCCCAAGGCAGGGCUCAUAGGGUGGGGGCAGAACUUAGGGUCUAAGAGUAAGUGCAAGCACAGUAGAAGGGGAAAUGGCAAGCUAGUGGUCAUGCCUAGCAAUUUGGGGUGCUGGCACACCCCUGGCCAGCUUGUCAGUUCAAAUUGAGGAAUAAAGACCUGUUGAAGGUCAGGUUCAGCCUUAGACAUCAAUUUAGAUGCUGGCAGGCUAUACCUUAACUCAGAACAUAUAGAGGAAUGGGUAUAGGGAUUCAUAUAAAAUCAGGAUGCAAUGAAAGAGCAAGCAAAGGGGCAUACCCAGCAAUGAGACAUACUAGCAUACCUUCCAGCAUACUUAGAGGNNNNNNNNNNNNNNNNNNNNNNNNNNNNNNNNNNNNNNNNNNNNNNNNNNNNNNNNNNNNNNNNNNNNNNNNNNNNNNNNNNNNNNNNNNNNNNNNNNNNNNNNNNNNNNNNNNNNNNNNNNNNNNNNNNNNNNNNNNNNNNNNNNNNNNNNNNNNNNNNNNNNNNNNNNNNNNNNNNNNNNNNNNNNNNNNNNNNNNNNNNNNNNNNNNNNNNNNNNNNNNNNNNNNNNNNNNNNNNNNNNNNNNNNNNNNNNNNNNNNNNNNNNNNNNNNNNNNNNNNNNNNNNNNNNNNNNNNNNNNNNNNNNNNNNNNNNNNNNNNNNNNNNNNNNNNNNNNNNNNNNNNNNNNNNNNNNNNNNNNNNNNNNNNNNNNNNNNNNNNNNNNNNNNNNNNNNNNNNNNNNNNNNNNNNNNNNGGGGGGGGGGGAGGGACAAAACUUGGGUCAGGAACAAUAACUCUUGUUGCCAUGCCACAAGUCCCCACUCUCAAGCAUAUAAGGGAUAAUGAGAUGGGGAGCAAUUGUUCACAAAGAAGACAAGCAAGCAAUAUCAUAUAGGCACUUUAAGUCAAGUUUUAAAGUUACAGGCAAAGAAAGUAGACAAAGGUAUUAGGACUUGUAAAUAAACACAUUCGGGUGAUGCUGAAUAUUAAGUUAGUACAUACCAUAAAGAGACAAGUGAAGAGAAGUAGUAGCUUUGUAAAAGCCAAAGUGCAGACAAGAAGUAAGAAUACUCCAAGUAUAAGUUCAGAGGAGAAUUGUGAUUUUGUAGUUUGAAGUGUGGUUUGUCGUGUGUGAUUGUUAAAAAUCUGUGUGUCUUGUGUUAAAGAGUCAUGUAUUUAUAGUGUGAAAGACAUGAUAAAAUAAGGUAAGAAAAUAAUAGAAGCCUGAUUGUCAAUCAAUUACAUAAGACUCCCCUUAAUUAAGGGAUUCAGGUUCAACCGGUACAAACUAAUUAAGGAAAGAAAUUAAACAAAUUUUUUUGUGCAAAGUAGAAAAUUAGAGGAAAAUACAUGGAAGUUAUUUAAGGAUAGAGUUUUGACAACACACGAUUUAUGUAAAUAAGGCAAGAGAAUCAGUUGACAGCCAGUAAAUCAGAAAGGUCUGUAAUUUGGUAUCAAUGAACCAAGUCACAAAAAUAAAGAAGGUUUUUACCUAAGCCAACCCAUCUAGGAAAUCAGUAAAAGAUGGAAGGAAAAUCAAUCAAGCUAUAUUUAGAAGGAGGUUUACUCUAAUUGCAAAUUUGAAAAUCAAUUAGACGGAAAUUCAUCAUAUAUAAGGAGCAUCUGAGUAUGAAAGAAGGUUGUCGUGUAAAUCAACAAAUAAAUCCAAUAGCAGAGUUUAGAAGAGUUUAUCAAAAGUCAGAAUCAUAUGAAACUCCGAAAGUAUACUAAAAGAGUUGGGGGUUUGAAAUAAGAAUCUUAGUUCAGGCAAAUCACAAAAGAGAGCAAUCAAUUGGAUCAAAAUAUGUAUAGCAAAGCAACAUGCAAUCACAGUAGAAAAAUUCAAAGUACACAUUGGCAAAUACUAAUAAGAAAAACAAGAGAAACAUACUUAGCAGAACCCUAAACAAGGCUGAAUCAAAAGCAGAGAAAGAACCAUAAGAACUUAGCAAGGAAAAUAUAGUAGAGAACACAAGAAUCGCCGAGAAAGGUAUAGCAGGAAAGCAUAUAGGAAAACACGGUACGACAAACAUAUAAGAACAUGAUAAAAUACAGUAGAAAAAUCUACAAGGCCAUAUUGUAGAAAACACAAUAAGGGAAGCAUACAAAAGAUGAUACGAGAACACAACAGAGGACAACACAGAGAAGAAAAAUCAUAAAACUCCUAAACAUUUUCCAGAAAACCCUAAAUCGGCAAAGAAGGGUUUUGAAAGUAAUUUUCAAAAAGAAAAUUGGGGAAGUCGUUUGGAAAAUCAUAUAGAGCAUAGAUACACAACAAAUUUAAAAAGAAUCGGAAAAAACCUCAAAAGGUUAGGGUUUCAGCGGAACCCUAGAACGAGAAAAGGCUUGGGAAAAGGUCGGAUUUAAGUUGGAUAAGGUCAGAAUCAGACUCAUGAGGCUAGGAUAUGCCAGAGCAAAGCCGCAGAUGCCCGGAAACCUUGAGUCAGCGAAGGUAUGGUCUCAAACAUUCAAGCAUCAGCUAAACAGGAGUAAUAUGAGGUGAGUAUAUCCAUCUAUGGUCUGAGAAGCCAUGGAUUCUGGUGAGGUUGCGAUCAGAGACGGUGAAAGGCGGCUAGGGUUAGGGAAUAUUUGAGAGAGUUUGAGAGAGAGUGGAGUAUUCAAAGGUGGCUGGCUAAAUGAAUAAUGGGGAUUAGGGAAUGGUGGGGGAUUAAAAAUGGCAAGGGAGAAUCCUAGUCGUUGAUCAAAAUGAUCAACGGCUUGGAUUAAAGCAAGAGCCGGGCGAUUUUUUUUAUUGGGUUGGGGCCGAGUUAAAAUUGGAACUGGGCUGGUCCAAGUAGGGGUAGAAUUGGGUCAAAUAAAGGUUAGAAUUGAAAUGCAAAGGAGGCUGCAAUUGAAAUAAAGGGAGGCUAAAUGGAAAUAGCCAGUUUUACCAUUUUUAUUUAUAAAAAAUAGUAAAACGGUUUUAAAAGCAAACUAAAAGCACUGAACUAAUUAAUAAUAUAUAGAUAUUAAUUUAAAAAUAUUGGGACCAAUUUUAUAGUUAUAAAAUACUAUUAAUCAUAAAAUAGGCUAUAAUCGCAAUUAUAUGCAAUUUAGUUGUUAGAAUGCCGAAUAAAUUUGUAAAAAUGUAUGAAAAUAAUACUAAUUACAAUUUGGGGUAAAUAGGAGAAUAAAAAUAGGUUAUUCACCAAAAUGAUAGUCUUGGAGAUAAUUAUUGAAUUAUUGUACUGCCAAACGGAUAAUAAAUUGAUUUUAAAAAAUUUAAAAAUUGGGAAAAAACACUAAAACACUUGGGUAUGCUUAUAUAUGUUAUUUUGAAAGUAAUUUGUAUAUAAAAAAUACAUAGGAAAAAAUUGGGUAUCAACUAUUGCGCUUUACAAGGUUCAAUUAAUUUAUUCGCUUGCGUCUCCAAGUUGUGAAAAAAUGCCUCUUGCCUUUGUACUUCCAUGUUCUCUUAUCAUAUAGUUCCAUGCAACACUUUAACAUAUCUUUGAUAUUUUUCCAGUCAUCAUCCCUAGGUUCUUUGUUCCUAUUAACUUCACAAGAAAAAGAAGAACCAUCAAAGUAAGGGGUUGGGGGAAGAUAAGAACUAUAAGCACAACCAUAAAAGUGACCAUCUUGAACACCACACAUAUCACACACAUUCCACAUAUGAGGCUGAGUUGGUUCACAAACUCGCUCUCAGAAAUAUUUUGAUAAUUUUUCCCUGGGUCGUUUCCUUUACAAUAUGCAUAAGGAGGAUUAAAAGAAGAAUUACCAAUAUCAAAAUUUUCAUAAUUCCAUGAUGCUAUGUCUUUCAGGUCAAAAACAAUAAAUAAAUAAAUUAUCAAAUACACGAAAAUAAAAAUUAUAGUUCAAACUUGCAACCUAGAAAUAUGUACACCUACAACUACACCGUUAGUUCCCCGGCAACAGCUUUGGUCACGCCCAACUAUACCUUAUAAAAAGGACAAAGCGGUCAUUGCAAAUAUAGUCCGCUUUACAAGUCCGGAGUCGAAUCUCACAAAGAACAAAGGCUUAGCUACAGUUGUUCACUAUCACAAGGAAUAUAAGCUUAAACAAUUCCCAUGUUAUAAAUAUUAAGAUUCUUGUCUUUAACUAACUAACUAACAAAUUAAAAUAAUAAAUUAACACUAAAGAUACUACAUGUUGGAGAAAAGACUAAGGAGGUA
rnacentral:lncRNA from 1 species